AAAAGGGAGAGAGAGAGAGGGAGAAAAGGGAGAGUGAGGGGAGAGGGAAAAGGAGAGCGCGAGAGGGAAAGGCAGAGAGGGAGAGAGCAGGGCAAAGGGAGUGAGAAAAAAGGGAGGAUGAAAGGGGAAUGGGGGAAGGAGAGAGCGAGAGAAAGGGAGAGCGAGAAAAAAGGGAGAGAGCAAGAGGGGGAAAGGCAGAGCGAGAGAGGGAAUAGGAGAGAGAGGGAGAGAGAGGGAAAGGGAGAGAGAGAAAAAAUAGAGAGGGGGAAAGGGAGAGAGGAGAAGGAAAGUGGGAGAGAGAAAAGAGGGAGAGAGAGAGAGAAAAAAGGGAGAGUGAGUGGAGAGACAGAAUAAAGGGAGAGAGGGAGAAGAAAAGGGGGAGAGGGAAAAGGAGAGAGGAGGGAAAGAGAGAGGGAGAGGGAAAAGGAGAGAGAGCAAGAGAGAGCAGGGCAUAGGGAGUGAGAAAAAAGGGAGAAAGCGGAAGGGGGAGAGGAGAGUGAGAGGGGAGAGAGAAAAAAGGGAGCGAGGGAGAGAGGAAAAAAGGGAGGGUGAGAGGGGGAAAGGGAGAGAGAAAAAAGGGAGAGAGCAAGAGGGGGAAAGCAGGGCAAAGGGAGUGAGAAAAAAGGGAGGGGAAGAGAGGAGAGAGAGAAAAAAGGGAGGAUGAGAGGGGAGAGGGGGAAAGGGAGAGAGAGCGAGAUAAGGGAGAGAGCAAGAGGGGGAAAGGCAGAGCGAGAGAGGGAAAAGGAGAGAGGGAGAAGUAAAGGGAGAGAGAGAAAAAAGGGAGAGAAGAGGGGAGAGGGAAAAAAAGAGGGUGAAUGAGAAGUGAUAAGGGGGAGAGAGAGAAAAAAGGUAAGGGGAGUGAGAAAAAGGUGGAGAAUGAGGAGAGAAAAGGGGGGAGAGCGAACAAAAGUGGAGUGAGAAAAAGGGAGGAGAGAGCGACAGAAAGGAAUAGAAAGAGAGAAAAAGGGGAAGGGAGAAAGAGGAAGAGAGAAAAAGGGGGAGAAUAAGGAGCGAAAGGGGGAGUUAGGAAAAGGGAGAGAAGGG
rnacentral:lncRNA from 1 species